GUCUUCUUGAUAAAAUAGGAAGUCUGACCUGCCCAGUGAAAAUAUUUUAACGUCCGCGGUAUAUUGACCGUGCAAAGGUAGCAUAAUCAUUAGUCUUUUAAUAGAGGGCUGGAAUGAAGGGUUUAACGAAGUACUUACUGUCUCAUUUAAUUUGAUAUUAAAAUUUACUUUUUCAGUCAAAAAGCUGAAAUAUUAUUGGAAGACGAGAAGACCCUACAGAGCUUUAUAUUUAAUUAUUUAAUAAAUUUUCGAUAUAAUUAUUAUUUAUUAUUUAAUAAAAUAUUUUGUUGGGGUGACAAAAAUAUAUAAUUAACUUUUUUAUUUAUAUGACAUUGAUAUAUGAAAAAUAGAUCCAGUUUUACUGAUUGCUAGAAUAAGUUACCUUAGGGAUAACAGCGUAAUCUUCCUUUAGAGUUCAUAUUCACAGGGAGGCUUGCAAUCCUCGAUGUUGGAUUAAGAUUAUAAUUAGGUGUAGCCGCUUAAAAAUAGGUCUGUUCCACCUUUAAAUUCUU
rnacentral:rRNA from 1 species